GGCGAUCAGAUACCGCCCUAGUUCUGACCGUAAACGAUGCCAACUAGCGAUCCGCCAGUCGACUCAUCGCUCUGGUGGGGAGCUUCCCGGAAACGAAAGUCUUCCGGUUCCGGGGGAAGUAUGGUUGCAAAGCUGAAACUUAAAGGAAUUGACGGAAGGGCACCACCAGGAGUGGAGCCUGCGGCUUAAUUUGACUCAACACGGGGAAACUCACCCGGCCCGGACACCGUAAGGAUUGACAGAUUGAUAGCUUUUUCAUGAUUCGGUGGAUGGUGGUGCAUGGCCGUUCUUAGUUCGUGGAGCGAUUUGUCUGGUUUAUUCCGAUAACGAGCGAGACUCUGGCCUACUAAAUAGUUGGCACAUUGCCACUGUGUGCCCAACUUCUUAGAGGGAUCUUCGGUGUUCAGCCGCACGAAAUUGAGCAAUAACAGGUCUGUGAUGCCCUUAGAUGUCCGGGGCUGCACGCGCGCUACACUGGCAAAAUCAGCGUGCUUGUCCUCCCCCGAAAGGGGUUGGUAAACCGAUGAAAAUUUGCCGUGAUUGGGAUCGGACAUUGCAAUUAUUGUCCGUGAACGAGGAAUCCCUUGUAAGGGCGAGUCAUCAACUCGUCCUGAAUACGUCCCUGCCCUUUGUA
rnacentral:rRNA from 1 species